rnacentral:rRNA from 1 species
AGUGAACGCUGGCGGUAGGCCUAACACAUGCAAGUCGAACGGCAGCACCGUAAGAGCUUGCUCUUACGGGUGGCGAGUGGCGGACGGGUGAGGAAUACAUCGGAAUCUACUUUUUCGUGGGGGAUAACGUAGGGAAACUUACGCUAAUACCGCAUACGACCUACGGGUGAAAGCAGGGGAUCUUCGGACCUUGCGCGAUUGAAUGAGCCGAUGUCGGAUUAGCUAGUUGGCGGGGUACAGGCCCACCAAGGCGACGAUCCGUAGCUGGUCUGAGAGGAUGAUCAGCCACACUGGAACUGAGACACGGUCCAGGCUCCUACGGGAGGCAGCAGUGGGGAAUAUUGGACAAUGGGCGCAAGCCUGGUCCAGCCAUACCGCGUGGGUGAAGAAGGCCUUCGGGUUGUAAAGCCCUUUUGUUGGGAAAGAAAAGCAGCAGGUUAAUACCCCGCUGCUCUGACGGUACCCAAAGAAUAAGCACCGGCUAACUUCGUG